UUGGAGGGCAAGUCUGGUGCCAGCAGCCGCGGUAAUUCCAGCUCCAAUAGCGUAUAUUAAAGUUGUUGCAGUUAAAAAACUCGUAGUUGAAUUUCGGGAUCAAAUAAUCGGUCGUGCCUCCGGUACGUACUGGUUUUAUUGGUUCCUCCCUUCUGACGAACCAUGAUGUCAUUAAUUUGAUGUGGUGGAGAAUCAGGACUGUUACCUUGAAAAAAUUAGAGUGUUUAAAGCAGGCUAACGCUUGAAUACAUUAGCAUGGAAUAAUGAAAUAGGACGUUCGACCCUAUUUUGUUGGUUUCUAGGAUCGACGUAAUGAUUAAUAGGGAUAGUUGGGGGCAUUAGUAUUCAAUUGUCAGAGGUGAAAUUCUUGGAUUUAUUGAAGACUAACUACCGCGAAAGCAUUUGCCAAGGAUGUUUUCAUUAAUCAAGAACGAAAGUUAGGGGAUCGAAGACGAUCAGAUACCGUCGUAGUCUUAACCAUAAACUAUGCCGACUAGGGAUCGGAUGAUGUUAAUUUUUUAAUGACUCAUUCGGCGCCUUACGGGAAAC
rnacentral:rRNA from 1 species